CGCCUCUUGCAUUCUAUGUAUAAGAGGUCCCGCCUGCCCUGUGACUAUAUGUUUAACGGCCGCGGUAUUUUGACCGUGCAAAGGUAGCGCAAUCACUUGUCUUUUAAAUAAAGACCUGUAUGAAUGGCAUGACGAGGGCUUAACUGUCUCCUUCUCCCGGUCAAUGAAAUUGAUCUCCCCGUGCAGAAGCGGGGGUAUUAUUAUAAGACGAGAAGACCCUGUGGAGCUUUAAAUGAUGAGAGAUUUUAUGCAACAAACCUAAAAAGGUAUAAGCGAAUUUAUACUCCCUCUAAUAUUUUUGGUUGGGGCGACCGCGGAGUAAAAAGAAACCUCCGUGAGGAAUGAGGUAAUUAACCUUAAAUCCCAGAACGACAAUUCAAAGAAACAAAAUUUUUGACCUAAAGAUCCGGCAAAGCCGAUCAACGAACCUAGUUACCCCAGGGAUAACAGCGCAAUCCCCUUCAAGAGUCCCUAUCGACAAGGGGGUUUACGACCUCGAUGUUGGAUCAGGAUAUCCUAAUGGUGUAGCCGCUAUUAAGGGUUCGUUUGUUCAACGAUUAAAAUCCU
rnacentral:rRNA from 1 species